GCCCUUAUAGCUCAAUGGUAGAGCAUUUUUUUGGUAAGGAAAAGGAAAUGAGUUCAAUUCUCAUUAAGGGCU
rnacentral:tRNA from 1 species